AACCAUUGCCAAGGAUUGUUGAAGAAUUUAAAGAUUUUGGAGAAGUACUACUAAAAAGUGGGUUUAUGGAGGUACAAAAGAGGAGGUACUCUUGUGAGAUGAAGGUGCCUUUGAUUCGAGUUUUAUUGAUAUUUUUGAGAAUGAAAAUAUUAUGUAUAAGAAAGUUGAUGAUUUUAAAAGAAAAGAAAGAAAAAGAUUAUAUAGUAUUGAAAGGGAAUUACGCAAGUGAGGGACAUUAGAAGACGAUGAUAAGAUUUUAGGUAUUUAUGAAGAAAAUGGAUUGAAGGAUUUUUUAGAAUUAAUUGCAUCUAUUGGAUUAGGGGAUAAUGAUAAGAUUGUGAAAAUUCAUUCAAGGGAGGCUUAUUCUAUAUUUGAAUAUUUUCAAGCACCAGAAGUUAUUAUAGAGAU
rnacentral:lncRNA from 1 species